rnacentral:rRNA from 1 species
UACGAAGGGGGGCUAGCGUUGCUCGGAAUCACUGGGCGUAAAGCGCACGUAGGCGGGUCCUUAAGUCGGGGGUGAAAUCCUGGAGCUCAACUCCAGAACUGCCUUCGAUACUGAGGAUCUCGAGUCCGGGAGAGGUGAGUGGAACUGCGAGUGUAGAGGUGAAAUUCGUAGAUAUUCGUAAGAACACCAGUGGCGAAGGCGGCUCACUGGCCCGGUACUGACGCUGAGGUGCGAAAAGCGUGGGGAGCAAACAGGG